rnacentral:rRNA from 1 species
UACGUAGGGGGCAAGCGUUGUCCGGAUUUAUUGGGCGUAAAGAGCGUGUAGGCGGCCAUGCAGGUCCGUUGUGAAAACUCGAGGCUCAACCUCGAGACGCCGAUGGAAACCAUCUGGCUAGAGUCCGGAAGAGGAGAGUGGAAUUCCUGGUGUAGCGGUGAAAUGCGCAGAUAUCAGGAAGAACACCCGUGGCUAAGGCGGCUCUCUAGUACGGUACUGACGCUGAGACGCGAAAGCGUGGGGAGCGAACAGG